UACGGAGGGUGCGAGCGUUGUCCGGAAUCACUGGGCGUAAAGGGCGCGUAGGUGGCGCGGGCAGUCAACGGUGAAAGUUCGGGGCUCAACCCUGAAUCGGCCGUCGAUACUCCCGGGCUUGAGCACUGUAGAGGCAGGCGGAAUUCCGGGUGUAGCGGUGGAAUGCGUAGAGGAUCCGGAAGAACACCGGUGGCGAAGGCG
rnacentral:rRNA from 1 species